GGUGAGUAACGCGUGGGUAAUCUGCCUUCGGGCUUGGGACAACUCCGGGAAACUGGAGCUAAUACCGGAUAAGACCACGGGGCCCUCGGGCUCCGAGGAAAAAGGUGGCCUCUGCAUGCAAGCUACCGCCCGUUGAUGAGCCCGCGUCCCAUUAGCUAGUUGGUGGGGUAACGGCCUACCAAGGCGACGAUGGGUAGCUGGUCUGAGAGGAUGAUCAGCCACACUGGAACUGAGACACGGUCCAGACUCCUACGGGAGGCAGCAGUCGGGAAUUUUGGGCAAUGGGCGAAAGCCUGACCCAGCAACGCCGCGUGAGGGAUGAAGGCCCUCGGGUCGUAAACCUCUGUCGGGAGGGAAGAAUGGUCGCAAUUCGAAUAGGGUUGUGGCCUGACGGUACCUCCAAAGGAAGCACCGGCUAACUCCGUGCCAGCAGCCGCGGUAA
rnacentral:rRNA from 1 species